GACGAACUGUGCGAACGUUGUUCGGAAUCACUGGGCUUAAAGGGUGCGUAGGCGGCUUGUUAAGUCGGGGGUGAAAUACUUCGGCUCAACCGGAGAAUUGCCUUCGAUACUGGCGAGCUGGAGGAAGGUAGGGGUCGCGGGAACUGCCAGUGGAGCGGUGAAAUGCGUUGAUAUUGGCAGGAACGCCGGUGGUGAAGACGCGCGGCUGGACCUUUUCUGACGCUGAUGCACGAAAGCCAGGGGAGCAAACGGG
rnacentral:rRNA from 2 species